rnacentral:rRNA from 1 species
GACAGAGGAUGCAAGCGUUAUCCGGAAUGAUUGGGCGUAAAGCGUCUGUAGGUGGCUUUUCAAGUCCGCCGUCAAAUCCCAGGGCUCAACCCUGGACAGGCGGUGGAAACUACCAAGCUGGAGUACGGUAGGGGCAGAGGGAAUUUCCGGUGGAGCGGUGAAAUGCGUAGAUAUUGGGAGGAACACCAGUGGCGAAGGCGGCUCACUGGACCGGUUCUGACGCUGAGGCGCGAAAGCGUGGGGAGCAAACAGG